UACGUAGGGGGCUAGCGUUGUCCGGAAUCAUUGGGCGUAAAGCGCGUGUAGGCGGUCCGGUAAGUCCGCUGUGAAAGUCGGGGGCUCAACCCUCGAAUGCCGGUGGAUACUGUCGGGCUAGAGUGCGGAAGAGGCGAGUGGAAGUUCCUGGUGGUAGCGGUGAAAUGCGCAGAUAUCAGGAGGAACACCAAUUGCGAAGGCAGUCUCGCUGGGACGUAACUGACGCUGGAGACGCGAAAGCGUGGGGAGCAAACAGG
rnacentral:rRNA from 1 species